rnacentral:lncRNA from 1 species
UGCUGCCUCCAGCACAGUCCCGAAACUGGUGCGUUCCAGCGCAAUCCUGCCCAGGCCAGGUUGCUGCCCUGGGGCAUUCCACAGCUGGUUUGAUCUGGUUGGGCCUGAGCACCGGGCUGAAGGUGUACCCCUUAAAAGGGGCCCGUGAUGGGCUGGAGAGAUGGCUCAGAGGUUAAGAGCACUGGCUGUUCUUCCAGAGGUCCUGAGUUCAAUUAGCAGCAACCACGUGGUGGCUCACAACCAUCCGUUAUGAGAUCUGGUGCCCUCUUCUGGUGUGCAGAUAUACAUGGAAG